ensembl:lncRNA
UUGCUGGGAAAUACGGCACGUUUUGAAGCCACAGAUGCGCCUACAGCCAGUGAAGACUCGGAGCAAGAGGCCGUCGCUUCACUGGCUUCUCAGCCAAAAUCUGUGCUUCACUUUGGCUCACAGUGUCACAUAAGACCUCCUUAUCGUUCAUCAGCUAUCCAGAGAUCAACCAGAUGACAGGUCAUGGAGUGAAGUGGAAGAGAUGAGCGUGUCAUCUUCUGAGGAGGAGUCAGAGCCAAAGCAGGGUUCUCAGUGGGACUUCGGAGUUGCAGACAAGUUCAUUGUCUGUCUCACCCAGCUGAUGGCUCUCUUCAUCAUUUGUCCUGCCUGUUGUGGGGAAACCAAUGGUAACGUGGAGCAGCAGCAGGGAACAUUUGUUCAGAUCAAGC